UAAGCCAGAAGAUGUGGGCACAGGUCUCCUGGCUUUCUGUCUCAUGACUCAUCCCCUACAACAUGUAGGAAAGGGCAAGAGAUUUGGAGGGUGCUUUUCAAAUGAGAAGUCACCCCAUUUUCACCUCCAUGUAACCCGCAGAGCAGCUGAUGUGACUGAGCUGAAACCAGGCCCCCUCCAAUUUUGGGGAAAGCUGAUGCAAUGGGAACAGAUCUAACCUGAAACGUAGUGAUAGGUCAGGAUGGGUUUUGAGAUCAGAGAUCCUGAUUCGUAUUUAUACUUAAUUCUUUCCCAUCCCAGCAGCAAUGUAAAACAGCCUUAAAGUGACUGUGCAGUAUCAAAUACUUCCCUUAUUUCCCCAGUGGUGCAGAGGUCUGUAAGGACAAGCCCCGUGAGUGGCUGUGUUGAGCAAGGGCUAAAGAAGAGCCAGGGGAUUUAGGCUUUAGCUUGGAAAUAGUAUUUCAGUGCAUCACCCCGAAUAAACUGCUGCCGGAGCUGCCAACGGCUCAGCGAUUUCCUCUGCAAACCUCAGAAACAGGUGAAACACUGGGCAGGGCUUGGAGCAUCAUUCAGCCAAACUUUUAAAACAGCAAUCCCCGUAAUAGGAUUAAACGGGGCCAACCAACAGGGGCAAAGGCUUGAAGAGAUUACGCGAGGCAUGCGAGAGGAAGGAUUAGCAGGAGAUGCAACAACAACGGAAGCCAGGAGAGUGCACUUAGCUCUAAGGGCGAGCGGUGCCACACGCCACGCACGCUUGGGGUUGACCUCUCCACCUCCACUCCAGGACAGCCUGGACUCACCCUCUCCAUCCACAAGAACGGUCCCUGCGCUGCGCCACGAGAUGUCCCACGGGCCCUUGGACACCAGCCCAUGUCCUACGCUAGUACUGACAUGGUCCAGGGCUCCUGGGGCUGAUGGCUGCUGAGAACGUGGACAGCUGUAUGCACCGAAAAUACAUUAUUUGAGGCCACUUCUCUUCUCCUUUGCAGUCUGGUAGCCAUGGGGAGAACGUACGUGGGACACAUUCUUACUGCUGAGAGGCCACAGCACUCCAAAAAAUGUUGGAUACCAUGACCUGCUGUCAUUAACAGUUCUGCCUUUUGCUGUUCUGGCAGGUAAUUGAUAGCUGCUCCAGCACCGGACUGCACAUUUGGGGUGUCACUGAUAAUACAGUGCAAAACAUUUUUAUUUAUCUAUUACAUCUCUGGGCCUCUGCUUAGUUUGCCCUUAGAUGUUUUCCCAAUAUAGCUGUUUCCAAUGGAAAAUGAGAUGAUUACAUUUGCAAGGAACCUCAGUGUGGACGCAGAUAUAAUGGCAAUUUAUAUGGAAUAGUUCCUCCUUUUUUGUGUGUGCCAUGUGCUGUCAGUCUAAAGCCUGUUUGUAGGACAGAAUUGUAUCUGUGACAGAAAGCUGCAGUUUUCUGCUUAUAGUGUGCAGUAAACACAGUGUGUAUAGGGAUCAAAAGAUUAUAUAUUUAUUAUUGACAUGUGCAAUUGGCUCUCGGGCCCUUUAGAAGUUGGACUUCUACUUCAAACUAGGAGUUCAGGUCUCCACUGGAGAGAAGGAUUCACUUCCAGAGGGCAAUUUUUCUUACCUGCCACAGGAUGGGAUGAGCUGACUUCUGCCGUGCCUGUCUUCUGCACAAGAAAGCUUCCUUCCAUGGGAGGACCUUUGGCAACUACCAGCUUCUUAGGUCAUGAGACAUUUUGGUUUAGCCACCUAAAAGAAAACUCAGAACAAGCCCAUGAGGCCACUUGGUACUUUGGGGAAACCCUAGAAAAGCCCCGUAUUGACCACGGGCUGCAGAGCUGCUAUGGGCAUGGAGCAAACACCCAGGGCUUCCUGCAGACAUCAGUCAGCCGCGCUGUGCUUGAGCCGAUGGGCUGCGAGCACGAAGGGAGCUGCUUCUUUAGCUCCUUUUAGUAAUUCCAUGAUCUCUCGUGCACUGAGCCAUCCCUGUGUCAUCCUCCCAGGCAGCCUGCCCGCAGCAGCAAAGACAGCUUUACGGGUCUGCUGAGGCCAUAUCCGAAUAUCCUGAGUAAUCUUCAUGAGUGACGGAGAAAUGCUCGUGUGUCUUGCUAAAUUUCUGCAGAGGGCAGUUACCAUAGUUUAAGAUGUACAUCCGAUUUCGAACCUCACCUUGCCAUGCAAACUGUGAGCAAGACCGAGUCGGCCGAAGUGCUGUCACUAAAAUUGCAUUUAUUAUGUAUAUAUGUAUAAGAUCAAUGACCUGAGGCAAGUUUCCAUGGAAAAUAUUUAUUUUGGUGAAAAUUGAUUCUUCAGUGAAGAGACUGGGGAAAACGAGAAAGGGAAACUGCAUAUGAAAAAACCUCCAAAACCAAUCCCUUUUUUGUUUUGUAAAAAAAGCCUUGAAUACUGGUUGAAAAAAUGGUAUAAAAUUAUGUAUUUUUUUGUUUGCUUCCUUUCCAAAUGUCUUUGGAAAUAUGUCUUUGACCAUUUCUGACAAGAUCUGAAAAUAAACGUAGCCAAACAAAGCUUAAGUCAGUCGUCUAUAGAGAGACAGGAUAUGUCAGGAUUCCUCCAUCUAGACCCAAAUUUUUCAUUUUUUCAGCUAACUCCAUUCAGAUUCCUGUGUUGACCCAUUAAUAUAAUAUUUAAGCUCCAGUGUGCUUCUGAAUAGGAGCUGAGUGUCACCGCAAGAAGCAAAGACUACUCUUCGAUAGCGGUCACAACAGCUCAUAUUCCUCCUAACACAUUUUUAACAUCUCAUGAAAAGUCACUUACUCAAACUGUUUUCUGCCAGCCCACUCCUCCCUCUUGAAUCCAGUCAGGAGUCACAAGACGAGGUACCCAAACCUCAGGUAAACACGUAACGAUGAUGGGCUGUGGGAGGUGAAGAUGAAGUAGAGUCAUACCCACGAGGUGCUCUGCAGAGAUGGGUGCUGGAUCUGUUGCUCCUCAAAGCCUCAGCUGCUCUGUUGCUUUUGGGGAUUAAAGGAUGUCCUGAAGAAAAGAGCUCUACAGCUGAACAUUGAUAUCCUUCCUAAGAAUGCAUUGAAAAAAUGUCAAUUUGGGGGAAGGAGAGCACCAGCUUUCGGAAGCUGCUGAUCUGCUGACUCCCACUUCUGGAUGUCCUGAAUCUAUCCAAUAUUGGAAGCAGAGGACUUCUCCCUUCCCCAGAGGACAUCACAGCCAUACACUCUAUCCUGGCCCUGCUCAUGGCAAGGAAAAAAGGGUUUCUGCAGCGUGUGGGUCUCCAGCUGCUGGGUUGGGUUGAGGACCACUGUCAGCCUCCACAGCUGCGUUUCAGAGGGUGAUUUCCCCAAGCGCUUGUCAUCCGUGGCUGAAUUUUCCUUGCAGACUAUUAGUUAGGGAGGGUCUGUAAUAUUUAAAAAGAGCUUGAUGAAGGCUGAAGGACAGUCAUGUUUUACUGACUCUCAUUUAAAUUUAAUUUAAAUGUAGUUUAAGCAUUACUGCAUGGCCCAUAAGCAAACAGCUCUGACUGAUGGUGCUUCUUGUUUUACCCGAGUCUGAGUUUUAACCAGAGAGGUGGCGAGUGGCCCUGGGUGGCUGGUGGGGUUGCUGGCUCUGGUGAAGCCUUGCCAGAUCGAGAGCCUCCGAUUGCUGCUGACAUGUGGGUGAUUGCACGCGGCUGCACCGAGGCGCUUAUCGGUUCUGUUAAAGCCGAUAAGCUUCUUCUUGGCAACUCUGGGCCAGGGACAUGAGAUGUCAUGCAACCCUUCACCACUCAAGGAGCCGCAUCUACAAGUUGGCUGAACGUGGAUGCAGCUGGCGAGCCCUCAUGGUACGCUGCGGGUUGGUUUUGGAGGCAGAGCGAUGGAAAACCGCUGAGGACUUGUUUUGAUCACUGCUGCUGUCCCUUGUUGGCCUCGCCAAGUUCUGCUUUGCAUCCACCAAUGCUAUCCCAUACUCAGAAAGCAAAAUUAUGUUUUCCACCAUGUCUGUCUUGCUUAAAACCCCACAGAGGUGACUUCUCAUCCACAUCUCAGAUGUUAUCCUACAGAUUUAUCAGUGUAGCCACGCAAUGUCAGACCUCUUCCACUACUACUGAAGAGGUGCAAUGCAGUCGAUGUGGCUAGGAGCCUCCCCUGAAAUCAGAGUUUCGUGUACUAAUGCUUCAUUCCCCCUCCCAAAUAAUCCUGAGGCACCCCGGACCCACACAAUGGUGCAAUCUAAGUGGACCGCACAGUGGAAGAGGAGGUGACCUGAAUAAUGUAGUACAGCUGCUCCACGGCAGAGAUGAGCUGCAUCCUGGCUUUUUGACUACCCCUUUACUAAUAAGUUUGCGCCUAAACCUGUGAGCCCGCUGGCAGAGUUGUGCCAUGUCCAAAUUAUCAGUCUCCAAAACCAGGCGGACACAUCCCAACUGCCUUUUGGCAUUGGCACGUGUCCUGCUGUGCUGAGCAAGCCCAUGUUCUGCCACUGUAAAAGCUACCAGAAUAGAGGUAGGGUUUGAGAUUUCCGUCUAUGUCCUGAAGGUCCCGUUCUUGACUCCACACACCAUCGCCUGCAGCUGGGAUUUCUUUCUGUCUUUCCAACUCAAAGAUCUCUUCAAUGCACUUUUCAUGUCACUGCAGCCUCUAUGUACAGUUAUACUUCAGACGCAUCCCCGAAUAUCGAUAUAGCAAAAAAGAAGAAAAAAAGAGCUGAGAAGGUAUGCAUCUCUUAAUGACUUUAAAAACCCUUUUAAAGGACUGCAGUUGGAUUUUUUUUUUUAGUAUAGAGCCACUCCUUUGGGACCUACUCUUGGUACAAACUUGUGCUGAUACAAUCUAACAUCUGAAAUAAAUCUAAAGUUGAGGUAAUCCUUUUGAGCUCAAUAUUAUAAAACACUGAGUACCAUCCCCACCUGAAACAAUUGUGUUUCUUUAUUCCACCUCUGGGUGAAAUGGAGGAUCUUACUGACCUUUUUUAUAGGUCUGAACACUAUGUUCCAUCUUCAUGAUACCCCUGUUGUGAACCUGGAAGGUGGCUCUGACACUUCACUUUUCUCUCAUGAGAAACACAGGCUACAAGAUCUUCCUGAACAGCCUCUUCUUAUAAAUAAAUAAUUUUUUUCACAAAAUUCCCUUGAAACAUGGCAAGUAAAGUACUUUCACCUGUUUACUGAAGUACAUAUCAUAUUAUCUGUACCAACAUUAAUGUAUAACUUACAUAUACUAAAAACCUCUCAACAUGUAUCAAGGGUUUUCUCAGCACCUUCCGUAACAGUCAGGUGAGCCCUGGUGCACUUUCAAGUGGAAAGGCCUGAUCAACCUAAAAGUUAAUGCUUGUGUUUCUCCACAAAGCCACCCAUUUGAGUUCAGUGCCACUCGACUCCGCUCUUUCAUCGCCCACAGGCUCACGUGGGUAUGGGACCUCCGUCUCCAUCGCCUUCUGCCUCGGGCAGUUACUUACAAAUUGGAUGUAAGACCUGAAUGUCACAUCCUUGGGGACCAGCGUUCAUUUCACAGUAGGGUCUGUCAGAAAUAUAGUAAAUUUAAUGGAUGUUGGAGCCCAACGGUCAUCGCCAGCAUGACCCUGGCAUGGUUCUGACCUGGGACAAGUAGCACUGAGCUAAGGGGCUCUGAGCAAUCUGGUUUAGCUAGCUGAAGAUGUCCCUGCUCAUGGCAGGGGGUUGGACUAGAUGACCUUUAAAGGUCCCAUCCAACCCAAACCACUCUGUGAUUUGACGAUUCUAUGAAAUAAUCCCCAAACUCAGAUUAGCAUGGGUUAGAGAUUGUUCUUAAUAGUUUGUCUGGGUGCAACCACCUUGUUUAGGUCAACAAGGGGGUUUGGCCGAAUGGAUGUGGCCACACCACCCCAGCCAUGCUGGGGCCAGAGGCCAGACCCUGGCACUGUUUAUUUUACCAGGAAAAAUGCAGCAUUAAGUUUACCAUUACAUGUGCUGGCAUACCAGCCUGUUAUUAAAGUAGCCAUCUUCCAGUG